UGAGUAACCUGCCCUUAACUCUGGGAUAAGCCUGGGGAAACUGGGUCUAAUACCGGAUAUGACUCCUCAUCGCAUGGUGGGGGGUGGAAAGCUUUAUUGUGGUUUUGGAUGGACUCGCGGCCUAUCAGCUUGUUGGUGAGGUAAUGGCUCACCAAGGCGACGACGGGUAGCCGGCCUGAGAGGGUGACCGGCCACACUGGGACUGAGACACGGCCCAGACUCCUACGGGAGGCAG
rnacentral:rRNA from 1 species